AUGCGGUCGCAGCUAGUGGGGCACUCUGAGCUAGUCGAGUUCACCCCCGACACCCAGCUGGAGAAGCUCGAGUACCUAGUGGAAGCGGCUGGCAUCUUCUCCCUCGUUGUUGAUCACUGCACAAACCCAACGAGAGGCGAGCUUGUCAGUCGCUUCCUCACCGGCACUGAGCAGUCCACCAUUGAGCACCUCUACGUCCACCUGCGCAGCAGUUCGGUGAGGGACAGGGUCACCUUCUACUUCCACUAUUUGAACCUGCUCCUUCGAGCCUCAUGCUUCACGGGAUCAACUUCUCUGCCCGAUUUUUCUGGUGGGUCUCCCUGCCCUUCACCCACCUCGCGGUGCUCCACCUCAACUCUGUCCGCAUCACGUUCGAUGUGUUCCAUGGCAUGGCCUCCUUGUGCUGGCCUGCUCUCCGCGAGAGUGUGCCCUUUGUAGGUUUGUUCCG
rnacentral:lncRNA from 1 species